rnacentral:rRNA from 1 species
UACGAAGGGGGCUAGCGUUGUUCGGAAUUACUGGGCGUAAAGGGCGCGUAGGCGGCUCGGCAAGUUGGAUGCGAAAGCCCAGGGCUCAACCCUGGAAUUGCAUUCAAGACUGCCUUGCUUGAAUUCGGUAGAGGUUGGUGGAAUUCCCAGUGUAGAGGUGAAAUUCGUAGAGAUUGGGAAGAACACCGGUGGCGAAGGCGGCCAACUGGACCGACAUUGACGCUGAGGCGCGAAAGCGUGGGGAUCAAACAGG